CCCCCAAGUGAGGAAUACCGGCGAGAAAUCGCCGACAAUACCGCAUGGGCUAGCUCUUGCAGGAGAGCAAGCAAAGCCUCUUUCGCGAGAAGGGGGCGCUUAGGGAGGGGCUUCCGCUCGAUUAGCUGGUUGGUGAGGUAAAAGCUCACCAAGGCGACGAUCGAUCGCUGGUCUGAGAGGAUGGUCAGCCACACUGGGACUGAGAUACGGCCCAG
rnacentral:rRNA from 1 species